rnacentral:rRNA from 1 species
GACGAACCGUCCAAACGUUAUUCGGAAUCACUGGGCUUAAAGGGUGCGUAGGCGGCGCGGAAAGUUGGGUGUGAAAUCCCUCGGCUCAACCGAGGAACUGCGCCCAAAACUGGCGUGCUCGAGGGAGAUAGAGGUGAGCGGAACUUAGGGUGGAGCGGUGAAAUGCGUUGAUAUCCUAAGGAACACCGGUGGCGAAAGCGGCUCACUGGAUCUCUUCUGACGCUGAGGCACGAAAGCUAGGGUAGCGAACGGG